rnacentral:rRNA from 1 species
AGGACGAACGCUAGCGGCGUGCUUAAAACAUGCAAGUCGAACGAGACCUUUGGUCUAGUGGCGAACGGCGGAGUAAUACAUAAGCAACCUGCCUCAAAGACCGGGAUAGCCCCUCGAAAGAGGGAUUAAUACCGGAUGUGGCCUUUUGUGGGCAUCCACGAAAGAUUAAAAACGAGUAAUCGGCUUUGAGAGGGGCUUGUGGCCUAUCAGCUUGUUGGUGGGUAAUGGCCUACCAAGGCUUCGACGGGUAGCGGGUCUGAGAGGAUGAUCCGCCCGACUGGGACUGAGACACGGCCCAGACUCCUACGGGAGGCAGCAGUUGGGAAUCUUGCACAAUGGGCGAAAGCCUGAUGCAGCGACGCCGCGUGGAGGACGAAGUCUCGUCGGAUGUAAACUCCUUUUGCCUAGGAACGAUAACGUGACGGUACCUGGUAGAAGUAACGCCCCGGACUUAACUACGUCGCCAGCACGCCGGAC